AUAACUAGUCGAAAGAUUAGCUAAUACCGCAUACGACCUGAGGGUGAAAGCGGGGGACCGUAAGGCCUCGCGCGAUAGGAGCGGCCGAUGUCUGAUUAGCUAGUUGGUGGGGUAAAGGCCCACCAAGGCGACGAUCAGUAGCUGGUCUGAGAGGACGAUCAGCCACACUGGGACUGAGACACGGCCCAGACUCCUACGGGAGGCAGCAGUGGGGAAUUUUGGACAAUGGGGGCAACCCUGAUCCAGCAAUGCCGCGUGUGUGAAGAAGGCCUUCGGGUUGUAAAGCACUUUUGUCCGGAAAGAAAUCCCUUGCCCUAAUACGGCGGGGGGAUGACGGUACCGGAAGAAUAAGCACCGGCUAACUACGUGCCAGCAGCCGCGGUAAUACGUAGUGUGCGAGCGUUAAUCGGAAUUAC
rnacentral:rRNA from 1 species